GACGAACGCUGGCGGCGUGCUUAACACAUGCAAGUCGAACGGUAAGGCCCUUCGGGGUACAUGAGUGGCGAACGGGUGAGUAACACGUGGGUGAUCUGCCCUGCACUUCGGGAUAAGCCUGGGAAACUGGGUCUAAUACCGGAUAGGACCACUGCCUGCAUGGGUGGUGGUGGAAAGCUUUUGCGGUGUGGGAUGGGCCCGCGGCCUAUCAGCUUGUUGGUGGGGUGAUGGCCUAUCAAGGCGACGACGGGUAGCCGGCCGGAGAGGGUGCCCGGCCACACGGGGAAGGAGAUCCGGCCCAGACUCCUACGGGAGGCAGCAGUGGGGAAUAUUGCACAAUGGGCGCAAGCCUGAUUCAGCGACGCCGCGUGAGGGAUGACGGCCUUCGGGUUGUAAACCUCUUUCAGCACCGACGAAGCGCAAGUGACGGUAGGUGCAGAAGAAGGACCGGCCAACUACGUGCCAGCAGCCGCAGUAA
rnacentral:rRNA from 1 species